AACGCACAUUGCGCCCUGUGGUAUUCCGCAGGGCAUGCCUGUUCGAGCGUCAGUACAACACUCAAGCCUAGCUUGGUAUUGAGCCACGUCCGCAAGGGCCGGCUUUAAAGUCAGUGGCGGCGCCAUCUGGCUCUCAGCGUAGUAAUACUCCUCGCUGUUGGGUCCUGGUGGAUGCUUGCCAGCAACCUCCAACCUUCUAAGUUUGACCUCGGAUCAGGUAGGGAUACCCGCUGAACUUAA
rnacentral:misc_RNA from 1 species